CUAGAGAAGCCCGGCGCUUCCCACUUCCAGUGCGCAGGCAGCGCCGCCGGAACCGGGCGUGGCCUCGGCGCAAUGCCCGCUGGGAAGCGUAGUCCCAAGCAGGGACGGAUGCGGCGGCCCUCGGAGCUCAGGUUGCAAGAUACGGUUUGGCCCCGGGCCUAUGCAACGCCCGUCCGUCCUGCCCUCUGCGGGUCGCUCUCACUUGUCCCUGGACCGCAGCCGCCGCAUAAGUGGUGGCCAACGCUGGGCCUGGGUGUGGCCGGAAGCAGAGGCCGCUCUGACUACACACCCACCCCCCAAAGGCUUCUGGGAGUCGCGCAGGCGCAGCGGCAGACCGGGUCUCCUGGCCUCAGUGAUGGAAUUAAGAUGACUUCUAUCUCUGAAUCCAAGGGUGACUGAAAGCCGCAAGCUGCAGAAAGGACAAGAGGCAUCACCUAUGUGGAUAAAGACAGCAUCCUGAGUUGAUGGAGAAAUGGCAUAGAAGGAACCAGGUCCUUUGAUGACAUCAUGGAGCAAAGCUGUCUUCUUGCCUUGACCUGCUACCUACCUACAUGGGAAGCUGUUACUUGAGAAGGCAAUAAAAUCUAUCUUCUUUAUUGA
rnacentral:lncRNA from 1 species